AUGGCUACGCCAGGUAGGAGACCUGAGCCAACUUCCUGUGGUUACCGGGGGGCUAGAGAGACCGGGCAGGCACCAUGUUAUGCUGUGGAGCGCACGGUGUCCCCAGUGCGGGUGCACAGCCCGGUGCGGUACAUUCCAGCUCCGCGUAUCGGCCGGGCUAGAGUGGGUAUCGAGCCAAGUGCCAUGAAGCCGGCUCUACGCCUCUGGUCUCCAGUGCGUCUCCUUGGGCCGGCUUACAUGGCACCAGCCUUGCGCACGGUGUCCCCGGUUCGCCUGCAUAGCCCUGUGCGGGCUAUUCCACCUCGCCGCACUGGCAGGGCGACCGGGACCAUUCAACCGGGUAAGGUUGGGCAGGCUCGGUGCUCAAGAGCUCCAGUGCGCCUGCACGGCCCGGUCUAUCCGUCACCACCUCCACGCACCAGCCCUCCGGUGGCAGCCCCCCGUACCAGGCUGUCUCUCCGGCCCAUCCUUACAGGGGCUUCCUCCUCUCCAGCGCUGCCGGAGUCUCCCGCCUGUUCGGUGCUACGAGAGCUACUCAGUCCGGCGCUUCCAGAGCCUUCCUCCUCUCCAGCGCCACCAGUGCCGCUCGUCUGCCCAGCGCCGCCAGUACCGCCCGUCUGCCCAGCGCCGCCAGUGCCGCCCGUCUGCCCAGCGCCGCCAGUGCCGCCCGUCUGCCCAGCGCCGCCAGUGCCGCCCGUCUGCCCAGCGCCGCCAGUGCCGCCCGUCUGCCCAGCGCCGCCAGUGCCGCCCGUCUGCCCAGCGCCGCCCGUCUGCCCAGCGCCGCCCGUCUGCCCAGCACCGCCAGUGCCGCCCGUCUGCCCAGCGCCGCCAGUGCCGCCCGUCUGCCAGGAGCCGCCAGUGCCGCCCGUCGGCCAGGAGCCGCUAGUGCCGCCCGUCGGCCAGGAGCCGCCAGUGCCGCCCGUCAGCCAGGGGCCGCCAGUGCCGCCAGUCAGCCAGGGGCCGCCAGAGCCCCUCCGCCCAGAGGCGCCGCUGCCCCUCUGUCCCGAGCAGCUGCCCCUCUGUCCCGAGCAGCUGCCCCUCUGUCCCGAGCAGCUGUCCCUCUGUCCCGAGCAGCUGCACCUCUGUCCCGAGCAGCUGCCCCUCUGUCCCGAGCAGCUGCCCCUCUGUCCCGAGCAGCGGUCCCUCUGUCCCGAGCAGUUGUCCCUCUGUCCCGAGCAGCUGCUUCACCUCUGUCCCGAGCUGCCCCUCUAUCCCAAGCAGCCCCUCUGUCCAGUGGGGUCAUUGAGAGGGGUGGGCAUGGUGAGUAAGCCACGGAGGCGGACAAUAAGGCGGACUAAGACAAUGGUGAAGUGGGGUCCGCGUCCCGCGCCAGAGCCGCCACCGCGGACAGACGCCCACCCAGACCCUCCCCUAUAG
rnacentral:lncRNA from 1 species